UACGAGAGGCCCAAACGUUAUUCGGAUUUACUGGGCUUAAAGAGUUCGUAGGCGGCGCAGAAAGUAGGGUGUGAAAGCCCUCGGCUCAACCGAGGAAUUGCGCCCUAAACUACUGUGCUCGAGGAAGCUAGAGGUGAGCAGAACAGAUGGUGGAGCGGUGAAAUGCGUUGAUAUCAUCUGGAAUACCGGAGGCGAAGGCGGCUCACUGGGGCUUUUCUGACGCUGAGGAACGGAAAGCCAGGGUAGCGAACGGG
rnacentral:rRNA from 1 species